CGCUUCACUUCACAUGCUCCGUCGAUCAUUUUCCCCAAAUUCAAUCGCUUUCUUUUCUCCAUCCUUCCCGAAUGUUCCACCAUUGCCGAUUCCCCUCAAUUACGAGACUCUUCGACUCUCUUCGACUCGAUCUGGUUUCCUUGCUGCUUUUGUCCCUGGAUCAACCUCAACCGUUUUACGACUGAAAUCAUCUCUCACGCGUUAGGGGGUUUGCGAGACUGUGUUAAACCCUAGCUCGGAGGAAAAAAAGCUAUUUGUUCUCAGGGUCUCCUCUGAAGCGGGAACUGUGUUUAUAAUGGAAGAGAAUGAAGGGAUUCUUAGAUUUUUGAACAAUAAAAGUGUCAAAUGGAAAGAGUACGUUGCAGGUGUCAUCUAAGAAUUGGAUCAACGAUUUACCAGAGUGAAGUCACUAAUCAGUGACCCUAUUGAGACAGGUGCAUCUCCUCAAAUGUGUGGUAUGAACAAGCCGUUUCUUUGAUUGAAAGCAUGCCUGCAUGUGUUCAAUCACGUUGGGCUAACCUUUUUCCAAAAGUAGAGGGGAAGCACUUCUGAUGUCAUCUAGACUUCCAGGUGAGUGUACUGAAGGACCAAAAGUGAGAACCUGGAUAAGGAAAGACACAUGGACUUGAGAGCACCACUAACUAGGAGCCAGAUUAAUCCGGUUUCAGAGUGUGACUCGAGGCACCAUUGUCUCUUGCAAAAGCAGUUGAUGCCAUGCAAUAUCAUUCUGCUUCCGGGGACUAACCAUUAACUUAGGGGGCUGCGCCGGCAGUAGCAUGCAUGCAGACAGGGUUGGCAAAGGUUCACCUUGCUGAUGAAGAAAUAUUCCUCUACCGUGUGAUAUUCGGUUACAACCAUUUCAGGAGGAGGAAUUUGCUUAGCUGCUUUGAGCUUCUCAUCUCUUGUCUAUGCCAGCAGAUAGGUGCAGUGGAGUUGGCAAAUUUGUCCGUGCAGAAUGCACUAGACUAGCAAUAGUUGGUGAGACGAGCAGAGACUCAUGCCAUGCUAUAAAGGGCUGAGU